UACGAAGGUGGCAAGCGUUGUUCGGAUUUACUGGGCGUACAGGGAGCGUAGGCGGUUGGAUAAGCCCUCCGUGAAAUCUCCAGGCUUAACCUGGAAAGUGCAGAGGGGACUGUUCAGCUAGAGGAUGGGAGAGGAGCGCGGAAUUCCCGGUGUAGCGGUGAAAUGCGUAGAGAUCGGGAGGAAGGCCGGUGGCGAAGGCGGCCCUCUGGACGGAUACUGACGCUGAGACGCGAAAGCGUGGGGAGCAAACAGG
rnacentral:rRNA from 1 species